GAGGGUGCGGCCCCGCUGCUGCCCGGGCUGCGGAGGGGAGAGCGCCUUGGCCGCUGGUUUGCAGCCUGGCUCGUGGUUUCCCCUGGUGCUGGGGAGUGGAGGCGAGUUGUGCUUCCUGCUGGGAGAGAGAAGGGCCUUGGGAAGCUGCUCCAUGAGCCACAGCUGUGCCGAGCCCGGGAGUCUGUCCAGCAGGAUGUGGAGUGCCACCAUGUCCCCGAGGUCACCCUUUCUGCUGCUGGGAGAGCACAAGGUGGAUGGAGAGGAUCCCCAGGCAUCUGCAGGCACAAAGGACUCGUACAACUGCGAUUUUCCUCCAGCCCUCGUGAGAGGGACUUUGAGGGUACCCUGGGUAAUGUGCCAGCUCUCCUGCUGGACUGUUUGUCUUCUGCUGUAUUUGAACACAAAGAGUAAAACUAAAGUCAGGUGUGUUCUGGAGUAUGUUACACUCGUGCAAAGCUCCUUCCCUCUGUUUAUUUUCUGUUCUGGAAAGCAGAGUCUGGGGUUCCUGGUCACUUCAUGUUAAAUGAUUCCCUGAAAAUAAUUUGGUACUGAAAGGGGAAAAGAGCUGUCUGUGGGAGGUCAGGUGUCCCUGAUAAAAGCUUUAUGCUUUUUCAGUCAAUAAGCUCCUUAUAUAUCUUAGUCUGUAGGAAUGCCUGGCUUGUAAAACUCACCAGCUGAGUCUUAGAGGCUUCUUUGAAGAGCUGAGUUCAGGCAGCAAAAUUGCCCCCCCAGGAGGGACUCUGUGCCUGCUCUCCC